AUACAUGCAAAACCUUAUUGUUUUAAGUUAGCUGACUACAUAUCUAUAAGUGGAUUUUGAGAUUGUCACAUGCUUUUGUUUAGUUACUGAUUAUAUUAUCACUUGUAUCAUUCAUCCUAUGUCCAUUAAUAACAGAUACUCCCAGUAAUGCUGGAUGUUGUACAAACAAUCAAAAGUUACUUGAGGAUCGUCUUUGAGAGUGAAAUAAUAUAUUUUUUUCUUCUAAUGAAAAUUUCUUUUUGUAACAAUCAUUAUGAGGUUAUUGUUUUAAUAUUUAUUUUUAUUGACAGAUCUAGGACUUCGACAGCCUAGGCUGGAAGGAGAAAAGUACUUAUCAAUUGUUGAUGAGUUCAUGUAAGUUGCAUUCACACCUUGGUCCAAUGUUAUCGUACAGGUCUGUUUCUUUCUGAAAAAGGCGCUAGAGGAGGUCUUUGUGUGUUGUAACUCUGUUUUUGAUAUAUUAUCAGUUUGAGGAUUUUCCAAUGAAGUGGGCAUUUGAAACACUGCAAAGAUAUAAUAAAACGUUUUGCAUGUUUAACGAUGAUGUACAAGUUAGUAAAGUUGUGGUAUAUUGCUAGUUUAUUUGUAUUCUAAAUCUGUUGGCAAGAAACUUUCAUGAGCAUUGUUGCAAUGAUGGCAGUUAGCUCAAGUACGACCAUUGCACUUGCCAGAUUUCUGGGAGCUAUGAGAGCUCAAGGACGACCAUUGUCUGACUUCCAGAAACAAAAAUAUGUUGUAGUGGCUCUGGGAGCUUGCUUGUGGGCUUACAAAGAUUCCAAAGGGAGAGAUUGAUGAUAUUGAUACGUGCAGCUGAUGCUAAUAAUUAUUUGAAUGGUGUUAAGUAUGGAGAAGGCAUUUACAAAUUCUAUGAGGGAGUAGUCAAUGUUAUUUCAAGUUAUGAUCCUUCUUGAGGAAGAAGGAGUUGAAGUAGUUAGUGCCAGUUCUAAAAAAUCUUUGGAUAUUGAUCAUCACUAGUAUAAAUUUAGUGAAGUUAUCAAUUUAGUUUUUAUUGUCAGGUAUAUAGGGGUUUCAAGAAGCAAAUAUGUGAUAUUUUAAUUUGUUGUUAGCAACCAUUAUAGAUAUUAAGUUUCUGUUUCAAUGGUGCUCUAAUGCUGUAUAUCAAUUUGUUUGUUACACAUGGAUUUUAAUAAAAUUUAUGAUUAAAUA